ACGGGUGAGUAACACGUGGGUAACCUGCCCAAGAGACUGGGAUAACACCUGGAAACAGAUGCUAAUACCGGAUAACAACACUAGACGCAUGUCUAGAGUUUAAAAGAUGGUUCUGCUAUCACUCUUGGAUGGACCUGCGGUGCAUUAGCUAGUUGGUAAGGUAACGGCUUACCAAGGCAAUGAUGCAUAGCCGAGUUGAGAGACUGAUCGGCCACAUUGGGACUGAGACACGGCCCAAACUCCUACGGGAGGCAGCAGUAGGGAAUCUUCCACAAUGGACGCAAGUCUGAUGGAGCAACGCCGCGUGAGUGAAGAAGGGUUUCGGCUCGUAAAGCUCUGUUGGUAGUGAAGAAAGAUAGAGGUAGUAACUGGCCUUUAUUUGACGGUAAUUACCUAGAAAGUCACGGCUAACUACGUGCCAGCAGCCGCGGUAAUACGUAGGUGGCAAGCGUUGUCCGGAUUUAUUGGGCGUAAAGCGAGUGCAGGCGGUUCAAUAAGUCUGAUGUGAAAGCCUUCGGCUCAACCGGAGAAUUGCAUCAGAAACUGUUGAACUUGAGUGCAGAAGAGGAGAGUGGAACUCCAUGUGUAGCGGUGGAGUGCGUAGAUAUAUGGAAGAACACCAGUGGCGAAGGCGGCUCUCUGGUCUGCAACUGACGCUGAGGCUCGAAAGCAUGGGUAGCGAACAGGAUUAGAUACCCUGGUAGUCCAUGCCGUAAACGAUGAGUGCUAAGUGUUGGGAGGUUUCCGCCUCUCAGUGCUGCAGCUAACG
rnacentral:rRNA from 1 species